GCCUCCCUCCGCGCCAUCAGCCUCCUACGGGAGGCAGCAGUGGGGAAUAUUGGACAAUGGGGAAACCCUGAUCCAGCGACGCCGCGUGUGUGAAGAAGGCCUGCGGGUUGUAAAGCACUUUUGGUGGGACAAAAAGCUACGGACUAAUAUUCUGUGGUCUUGAUUUAACCCAAGAAAAAGCACCGGCUAACUCUGUGCCAGCCGCCGCGGUAAUUC
rnacentral:rRNA from 1 species